rnacentral:rRNA from 1 species
UACGAAGGGGGCUAGCGUUGCUCGGAAUUACUGGGCGUAAAGCGCACGUAGGCGGCUCUCUAAGUCGGGGGUGAAAUCCUGGAGCUCAACUCCAGAACUGCCUUCGAUACUGGAAAGCUCGAGUCCGGGAGAGGUGAGUGGAACUGCGAGUGUAGAGGUGAAAUUCGUAGAUAUUCGCAAGAACACCAGUGGCGAAGGCGGCUCACUGGCCCGGUACUGACGCUGAGGUGCGAAAGCGUGGGGAGCAAACAGG